CAGUCGCCGCGGGAAUACGUAGGGUGCAAGCGUUGUCCGGAAUUAUUGGGCGUAAAGAGCUCGUAGGCGGUUUGUCGCGUCUGCUGUGAAAUCCCGAGGCUCAACCUCGGGCUUGCAGUGGGUACGGGCAGACUAGAGUGCGGUAGGGGAGAUUGGAAUUUCUGGUGUAGCGGUGGAAUGCGCAGAUAUCAGGAGGAACACCGAUGGCGAAGGCAGAUCUCUGGGCCGUAACUGACGCUGAGGAGCGAAAGCGUGGGGAGCGAACAGGAUUAGAUACCCCGGUAGUCCCUGUCUCUUAUAC
rnacentral:rRNA from 1 species